rnacentral:rRNA from 1 species
CUCCUACGGGACGCAGCAGUGAGGAAUAUUGGUCAAUGGGCGGGAGCCUGAACCAGCCAAGUCGUGUGGGAUGAAGGCCCUCGGGUUGUAAACCACUUUUGUAGAGAACGAAAAGACACCUUCGAAUAAAGGGUGUUGCUGACGGUACUCUAAGAAUAAGCACCGGCUAACUACGUGCCAGCAGCCGCGGUAAUACGUAGGGUGCGAGCGUUAAUCGGAAUUACUGGGCGUAAAGGGUGCGCAGGCGGUUGAGUAAGACAGAUGUGAAAUCCCCGAGCUUAACUCGGGAAUGGCAUAU